rfam:Fukomys damarensis contig93521, whole genome shotgun sequence.
AAUGUGGAAGUGGUCUGAGGCAUAUAGAGCAAUAUGCCAAGAACACUACCAUAU